ACUGAACGCUGGCGGCAUGCUUUACACAUGCAAGUCGAACGAGAGGCGAACGGAUGAGUAAUAUAUCGGAACGUACCGAGUAAUGGGGGAUAACCAAUCGAAAGAGUGGCUAAUACCGCAUAUUAUUCGAGCGGCCGAUAACCGAUGAGCUAGUUGGUGGGGUAAAGGCCUACCAAGGCGACGAUCAGUAGCGGGUCUGAGAGGACGAUCCGCCACUCUGGGACUUAGACACGCCCCAGACUCCUACGGGCGGCAGCAGUGGGGAAUUUUGGACAAUGGGGGCAACCCUGAUCCAGCCAUGCCGCGUGUAUGAAGAAGGCCUUCGGUUUUGAAAGUACUUUUGUUAGGGAAGCGGUACCUAAAGAAUAAGCACCGGCUAACUACGUGCCAGCAGCCGCGGUAAUAC
rnacentral:rRNA from 1 species